CAAACUUGCCAGCACUUUUUUUCCUGUUACUGAAGGUUGAGUCUGGACCCUGACUUAGUUGAAAUCAAGAACAUUCCAUUGUGGAUUUGUGGGUGAUUUUUGCAUUUCAGGAAAGUAGGAAAUUAGCUCUUAUGGUUAAUUUGUCCUUUUGUUCUAGAAAGAACUAUUUUGAUGAGGAUUUUCUUUCUUUUUUUAAGUCAUCAGGUAUAAGGCUAGAUGUCAUGGGGACAACAAUCCAGAAGAGGUCAUCUCUCCUGGUCGCAUGUGAUGAACCAGUGUUUUACUGAGAGGUAGCUAGGAAGAGGUAGUGGUGAUGAGAAAGGCCAGUGGCAUGUGCAGCAGCUGAGACCUACCCGAAGCAUCAUUUUUAGCUCUGUAAUUCCCUCGUGUUAUGCCAGAGUCCUCAGUAGAUGCUGUUAAAAUGUUGCUGUUUUCACUGUGCUUUGGAGAAACACAAGGGACCUUGGGGAAAACAGGAGGAGCAGGAGUGAGAGACAAUGAGUAACAACCAGGAUGGAUUUGGAGAGGCUGGAGGACAUGGGAUGUCCAGGUUACACGAGCCUGGCCACAAGAGGACGUCUCUCAGACACUGUCAAUUCACCAUUUAAUAUUAGCAUGAGCCCUGUGUCAGGCUGGGAGAUGAAGAGACUCAGGUGCCAGUGACACCGUUUGCUCACAGGAGUCCAUUGUACCUGACACCAUCCUUGGAGCCAAUUUGAAUGGAGUUUCUAUCACUGACAACUCAGAGGCCAGAAUAAGGCGCUGUUUCACACUGACUCAGUGACCAAGGUGGAGGGCAGGGGCCAGGAAACCUCUCCCCGUCUCCCACCUGCUCUCGAAGCACUGCCUGCUGUGUGGCUGUAAUGCUAACAUUUACCGAAAGCCAGGCUCUGAAACUGCCUCUCGGUUUCCCACUCACCUGUUUGGAGGCGAUGGCAGCGGACUCCAAACACCUGGCGGGAUGUGCAGGGAGAUGUGGAAGAGCCUUGCGAUGUGCUCACCCGAGGCAGACGCUCUCAGGAGCACCUGGUCUCCAUGCUCCUCCAUCCGAAGCCCCGGCCACCGUCCUGCCUAAGGCUUGUGAUCCCAGGAUCUGAUGUCCCAAAGAACUCUGGCCCAGAGGCCCCAGAAUCCACCCAUGUAAUGCCCACCCUUCCCAGACGAGGAAACUGAGGUCCCAAGAAGGCAAACUACUGGUGCAGGGGCGACAGAGCCAGAUGAGAGUGAGGCUGAAGCUGGCCUGCCCGCUCUCCACCAGGAUCAGUAGCCAUUUCUAGUUCCUCACCCCCAUCUCUACUUUGGAGUGGUGAGGCUUCAGAUGCUCUAUCUGGAAGAAUUCGGGAGCAUCUGAGAAAAGCAGAGGCGAGACAGCAUCCAGAAGAGAAACUGCAGUGGUGAGGCUGACCCAGGAAGAGGCAUCAGAACCACUGGUCAAGUGGGAAGUAAGUCAAGCAUGUCCCAGAAAAAAUCAACCCUGCACCUUGUGGUUUUCUGGAACAAGCUCUAGCAUAAUUUACAUAGCCAAAUGAUACAAAAGAAAAUUAGCUUCUCAAAGUUAG